rnacentral:rRNA from 1 species
AAUAUUGGACAAUGGGGGGAACCCUGAUCCAGCCAUGCCGCGUGUGUGAAGAAGGUCUUCUUAUUGUAAAGCACUUUACGUUGGGUGGAAGGGUUGUAGGCUAAUACCUUGCAAUUUUGACGUUACCAACAGAAUAAGCACCGGCUCACUUCGUGCCAGCAGCCGCGGUAAUACGAAGGGUGCAAGCGUUAAUCGAAAUUACUGGGCGUAAAGCGCGCGUAGGUGGUUCGUUAAGUUGGAAGUGAAAGCCCCGGGCUUAACCUGGGAAUUGCUUUCAAAACUGACGAGCUAGAGUACGGGAGAGGGUAGUGGAAUUUCCUGUGUAGCGGUGAAAUGCGUAGAUAUAGGAAGGAACAUCAGUGGCGAAGGCGGCUUACUGGACUGUAACUGACGCUGAGUCACGAAAGCGUGGGUAGCAAACAGG